UAUGCAGAACUUUUCUCUCAUAAAUAUUAACAUCUACACUCUAAUAUAACACCAUACACCCUAUUACAUACCACA